AUAACACUAUAAAUAAAAGGAACUAUUAGAUUUCAAAUUUAUUUAUACAUAAAAUAUUUUUUUCUAAACACAAUUUAAACAUUUAAACAAUAGUAAAAGGUAGGAACACUAAUAAAGAAAGUAGUAUUUUAGCUGAUGCUAAUUAAUAAAAUAACAUAAAAAUGAUAAAGUUUAUCGCAGUGACUUGCAUUCUUAUAAAUUAAAAUAGAUAAUUAAUUUAAGAAGUGUAACUGUCAAAGAAAAUACUUCAAAUUUCAAAAAGAUCAUAACCUGAAAAAUCAUGAGACAGAGCCAUUUCUAUAAUAAAAUGAAAACAAAAAAAAAUAAGUAUCCAAAAUAUCCUUAUAAGAUGACUAAUUAAAGGUACAUAUAUAAGAAAAGAAUUUAUAUAAAUUUGUUUGUCAUAUUUAAAUAGAAUUCAAGUGAAAGAAAUUGUAAACUGUAGCAUGUUUAUAUAAUGAGCUACUAGGAGCAGCUGCUCUUAAGUGCAGCUAAAUAGGCGCUUCUGUGUCUUGUAGGAGGGUCAUUGCCAAUAUACUCGAUCAAACUCUGAUAUGGAAACAAACCUUCUAAAAUGAAAAAUAACUAUAUUUUCAGUUUUAAUGCAACAUUUUUAUUUCGUGUAAUAUACUGAACCUGAUGUAUAAUUACCCAUAAAAUCAAUUACUAAUCUAAUCAUAUCUUGGAAAAGAAAUUUAAUCUCUGCAACCAGACCAUCACUGACCAGGUGUCGCAAAGUGUUCAAAGAACAAUUGCAGUAAAACUAAAUAGAAUUCAAAAACUCUCACUCGAAAUAUGUUUAAAUCUCAAUCAAUUUCAGCUAUUAGACAUGUUAUAAGGAGAGAGAAAUAGAAAGCCCCAAGAACAAUUAUGGAAAAGAAUAUUGAAGAAAGAAGAGGAAGACCAAAAACGAGAGGGAGGGAUGUUAUUGAAUGUGAUAUUAUGUAGGAGACUGUAUCAAGUGUGGGUAUCAAAAGGGUGCCCAACCUCAAGUAGUUGUGAUAAAGCCGAGGAAAAAGAUUUCCUUCCCUUUUAGUGACAUAUUUUUCCAAUCUACAACAAGCAUAUCACAAUCAUCAUUAUAAUUUGGAGUUUUGUUCUCAAAAUUAUUUUCAACCACAGAGUUAUUUUGAGAAUAAUUAUUGGAAGCUUUAUGCGUUUGACCUCGUAUGAAUAUUGGUACGGACUUGUUAUUUGAAGGUAUAGUUUUAAAUUGAUAUUGUUUCCAUUC